AAACGAAGAUAGUUCACUCAGGUCGUUUGCAAUAGCAGCUGGGUCAUGUCUACUUAGUUCAUUGACUUUAAUUGAACCAGAAAAAAACAGCAAGUGGGGUGUCUCGCUUCCUCUUCUGUCUGUGGCUAGAGUUUUUUGCUUUAGCCUACGUUUGGCUGCCUGCCUGUUUAUGCACCUCCACUUUUUUUUUUACCAGCAAAUUGUCAUCAUCUAUUGGAUAAUUUGUCAAGUUUAAUUAAUUUUUGCGCUAGUCUUGCCGAAAUGGUAAAAUGGUUUGUGAAACGAUUGCAUUUUGGAACCCGGACACAACGGAUAACGUUAGUUAGUGACACUCACAGCUAUCAGUGCCAGAGUAUGUGAGCAGAGCAUGCCCAAUUUGUAUGGAGCGAGUUUGAGAAAGGCUGGAACGUGGCUCAAUAUUUUCCUCAAGAAACUGAUAAAACACACAGGUGCAACAUCAAGGUGCCUUACAAAGAUGAGGAGGAUGGGGAGCGGUGGUGUAGUGUGCACACCUAAAUAAUCAUCUUGGAAUCUGAUGACAGGUGAAAGCAUGAUGGUUCCCCAGCUCAGGCGAAGCAGAUUCAUUGAAAAUUCAGAGCCGCCACCUCCCUCUUAUGAACUGACCUGCAGUGGAAUAAGCCAACCCCCCUCGUCGCCAGGCCCGUCCCCUGGUCUAAACCAGCCUCCCAUUGCCACUCCUCGCCUCCCCGCUACUCCAACAGCAUGACCACGCCUGGGCACUGCUUUACAAAAGGCCUCAGCAGAGGAGGAACUAUUAAUCUCUCCAAAGCCUCAAGAGAGAGCCACUGGUAGGGCCGCUGUGAGGCCCCUGGAGCCCCUGACUGAACUUAGAGCCCAGAGCUCCACAGUGGGGACCACUGGGUCUUCGUUUGGCCCCUGAUCAAACAGACUGGGAUAGGACAAAGGCACAAGACUAUGUACCUGUGCCAUUUGGCAGAUGGAUGUCACUGUGUUUGCCAGGGCUGAGCCAUGCCCUAGAGAGACUGAGCAGAGGUGGCAUAAUGCAGAGGGUUGGUUGUGGGGAUUCGGAAAAGGCAGGGAUCUGGCACUCUGAGACACUUUGACCCCAACAAGGUAGUGCAGCUUUAAAGAUCAUUAAAAACUAUUGAGAGAAAAACACCUAACGCCAGGUAGGCAAGUUGAGAACAAGUUCUCUGCGGCUGGACACCUAUUUCACACCACCUGACUUAAGUCUAUUCCAUUUAUGGUGCCUGCAAACCGGAAAUGCUGCCCAGAACAGCUCAUUCUCUUCCUGCUCCCUCUCUCCUAGCUGUGCGGCAUGAAACAUUUAUGCAUGAUGACCCAUGGUCUACCUCCACCACCACCGUGCCCUGACAGAGAAGACAGAAGGAACUAUGCUCAGCAGGUGACAGACAAACAUAUGUCUCUGAUGCCACGGGGUCUUGCAGCCUGAGCUGGAUCAUCUCCAAAGGCUAACUGGCAGGACCAAGUAGGAAGGAUGGGCUUUAAUGCAGAUUAUUCGCAAAGAGCAUGGUCGAUCACGAGAACGGCACCCAGUGUGUACCCAGCUGCUUGGUUGGCACACGGCUCCGACUGAUGCCAGGGUUUCUAGACAAGGGGAUCUGGUUCAGCAGGCAACCGUUGUGGAACGUUGUAUUAGACAUGCCAUGAAUAGAAUGUGAUUCCUUAUUCUACAUAUUAAAGGGGCAUGUUUGUUCUA